GACGAACGCUGGCGGCGUGCCUAAUACAUGCAAGUAGAACGCUGAAGGAGGAGCUUGCUUCUCUGGAUGAGUUGCGAGCGGGUGAGUAACGCGUAGGUAACCUGCCUGGUAGCGGGGGAUAACUAUUGGAAACGAUAGCUAAUACCGCAUAAGAGUAGAUGUUGCAUGACAUUUACUUAAAAGGUGCAAUUGCAUCACUACCAGAUGGACCUGCGUUGUAUUAGCUAGUUGGUGAGGUAACGGCUCACCAAGGCAACGAUACAUAGCCGACCUGAGAGGGGGGUCGGCCCCACUGGGACUGAGACACGGCCCCGACUCCUACGGGAGGCAGCAGUAGGGAAUCUUCGGCAAUAGACGGAAGUCUGACCGAGCAACGCCGCGUGAGUGAAGAAGGGUUUCGGAUCGUAAAGCUCUGUUGUAAGAGAAGAACGAGUGUGAGAGUGGAAAGUUCGCACUGUGACGGUAUCUUACCAGAAAGGGACGGCUAACUACGUG
rnacentral:rRNA from 1 species